rnacentral:misc_RNA from 1 species
UUAUAAAGGUAAUCAGUAAGAAACUAAAACAAAAAUAAUCCCAGUAAUAAGUGUGUGUAAACAUUGCAUACAUAAUUAUUUUACACAACUAGAGAACACGUGAACAUUGUCAAACUGAACUAUUUAUUUUGUAUAUUAAAUAUAAUUUACGCAUGGGCUUUAUAAAACAUAUAAAUGAGCUGUUGUCGAGCUGUAGAUAGAUUUCUUCCAAUGAACACUGAUGGUCACAGUAAAACUCUGUGGACUGUUCAUUAUAACGCUGUUCCUCAAAUAACAUCUGAAGAGUUACGUGUCAUCUGCUUUCGACUGUUUGCAGCUUGAAUCCUCAAGUUUAUCGUUUCCAGCAACGGAAUGAAUGAAUUCAUUGAACGUUAUCAUCCUGUUACUAAAAUAACAGGGAAUUUCUUACUGCAUGUUGGAGGGAUACUGUUGCUGCAUGGCAACGCUGUUGUUUUGUUGUUCUGUUAUGUUAAAUAACACCCAUCACUACACUUUAGAGCUUUCAUCAUAUGUUUCGGGAUUUUUUUAUGAGAGAUUUAAACCCAUUCAUCAACUUAAUGUUUUUCCUUAUCUUCACAAUUGGAAACUAUUUUUACAAUAUGUCAUGUUUUCAAAACUCAGGAGUUUGCUAUCAUAAAGUUUUUCUAACACUGUCUUAAAGUUUCUACUUUUAAAUUUCCUGAGUUCUGUGUACACCAGUAAAGUACAUUUUUAGUUUAUACUAUUUUCAAAAUUUUCUAUUUCUGCAGAAAACGCAGGCAGUGUCACAACAUUUUUAAUUCUGGAUGGUGCAUUAUUAAUCAAUAGUCAUCAUCGUAUUUUCAGUCAGACCUUAAUGUAAUGAAAACUCUCCACUUUAAACAUAAACUUUUCAUAAAAUUUUAUUCAAGCUUGUCAUGAAACCAUUUGGACCUCACACUUCAUAAAGGCCCUUUUUGUGUUGAGGUUUUCUCUAUUUUACUCCAGAAGCUGGAAAGCAAGUUUAUCUACUGAAAUUAUUGGCUAUUCAUUCUUGUAUAUUUGUGUAUAUUGGAGCAGAAGCUAGGGAUUUUUUAAGUAACAUUUUGAAAUUCACUAGUUCAAGCUGCUUGUAGGUUUCAGUUUUGGUUAGGUUCUUUCUUGGCUAGGUGUAGUUCAGUUUUGAAAACAUCAACCGUACCCUGAAUCUGCAGAUAAUUUUUCUCCAUAAAAAUGUGUUGUUUCUGUGUAUUAUCUUUUUAUAAAUCUGAGUUCGGCUAACCAGAGUUUUGCUGUAUUUCAUUCAGGAUGAAAUGUAGAACUUGUCAUGACAGUAAUCUUGACUGUAAAUAUUGGUGAUAAAAAUUAAGAUUUUUACAUUUGGAUACAAUAUAUUAGGGAUUCUAAUUAUUUGUAUUUAUUGAUUCAUACAACAAUAUACAAAGUUGUUCAGAUUUUACAAGAAGUAAGUAUAAAAAUAGUGAAACCAGGCAAUGUGUAUUUUUAACUGACAUUAAUUGCUAUCGAACAAUGAUUCGACAGAAGAAGUGAAGCAUUGCACUGAAUGACAUGCAUCCAGUUAAAUGAAGAAAAUGUGAAGUAAUUAACAAAGCUUCAUUUUAUUGCAGGUGGGAUGCAAUGGAAGAGGACAAUGUCGAUGACAACAAUUACAAUGAAAUAAGUAGAAAAUCGGCAAAAUACUGUGAGUUAGAAGAUGAUGAUGAGUUAAUGAGUGACUAUGACAGUGAUGAGGAGUACAGCACGCUGUAUUCUUGCAGCAUUUGUAACGCAUCCGGCAUGGUGAUAGGGGACUUCCUGAAACACACCAGAGAACACACAAGAGAUGAAAGACAGCAGGUAUUAGAGAGGAUGACCGAAGACAGGCUAGCACAGAAAAUGGCAGCCAGAGAGGCUGCCGUUGCUUACGGAUUUAAGCGUCAGUCGAGUUUGAAAUCUUCUGUAACGUUGUAUCUCUGCGUUGUUUGUGGUCAGGGAAAUCUGCUGUUGAGGAACCUCAAGGAGCACAGUUCGCUACAUCCUGAGUGUGUUCGUAGCCAUUACUGUAACCUUUGUCAGCAGCAGUUUCAGAACGAAAAAGAACUGAGCGAUCACCUUGAGAUGCAUUUAGAUAACAACGACUUGAUUUGUCAGUAUUGCAAUAGGAAGUUCAGCAUCAUUGAGGAUUUGGAAUCGCACGAGAGCGGCCAUCAUCAGGCCGAGUACAAGUGCACCUAUUGCCGUGAAAGUUUCAAAUCGAAAGAGUUUGUUCUGUCACAUUUGAGGAAAAUACACUCGACACAGAGUGUUUGUCACAUCUGUGAUAAGGAUUUCAAAACCGAAAAUUUACUUUAUAAGCACUUUAUAACCCAUGCAAGUCUGUGUAUAGUUAAAAAAUUGGUCCAGUACUUCACUUGUGAUUUUUGCGCAAAAAAAUACGAUAGUAAGAUUUCUUUACAACGCCAUACCUUGUUCCUGCACAAUGACAGAAUGCCUUACAUCUGUGAACACUGUGGGUUCACAGCUUACCAUGAAGAGCCACUGAGAGAACAUCUGGUCAAGGAGCACGUCCACAAUAGCAUGUAUUUGUGCUGCAAGUGUGGCCUCGAGUUUAGGAACAAGUCAGAACUCGAUGCGCACAUGACCACCCAUUCGGACAGGACAAACCGGUGCAAUAUGUGCAGUUUGAAGUUUGAACAUUUCUUAGAUCUUAAGUACCAUAUGACCUCCCAUUCUGAUGUUGGUCCAGUGACUGAUGCAAAAGAAUCGGAUGUAUAUGAAAACAGUGAAGUCUUAGAAACAUCUGAAAAAGAUUUUAUAUUUAUUUGCAAUCGCUGCGAUGAAACGUUUGAGGAGGAAGAGAUGUACGCCACGCACAUGAACGGACAUGUACCGACUGUGUCUUGUGAUCUAUGUGAAAAAUUAUUUGAAAGUGAUGUAUUAUUGAAUAUUCAUCUAAAUAAAGUCCAUACCAACAAAUUUGGCAAACCCGACUUGAAAAAAGGAGCAUUACCUUUCAAAUGCGAUAUAUGUAGUGCUUCAUUUAGGCUUGAGUUCGAAUUGGAAGACCACUGCAUUAUUCACAGAGACGUUUUGUACCAGUGCCAUGUAUGUUUUGAAGAGUUUUUGCUCGACAAAGAGCUUCAAGAUCACUUAGGAACUCAUGAUGAAGAGAGCAAUGAAAAUUUAGAAAGUACUGUAACCUACAGUGAAUCAAAACCCUUAUUAAAUAAUACUGGCUCAUAGCAGCCAAAGUAGAUAUAAAAAAAACUUUUAUCUUACCACACAUGGUCACUAUAAAUAGAAGAAAUUGUAGUUAAAGAAGAGGAAGUAUCACAAGUAAUUUCAGUACCGUUGGGUGCAGACGUAUUAACAGCAGUUGAAAUGUACGAAGAUGUCGAGACUUCUGUUGUUUUACACGAUUUUGUUGAAG